rnacentral:rRNA from 1 species
GUUGGGUAGGGGAGCGUUCUGUAAGCCUGCGAAGGUGUACUGUGAGGUAUGCUGGAGGUAUCAGAAGUGCGAAUGCUGACAUAAGUAACGAUAAUGCGGGUGAAAAACCCGCACGCCGGAAGACCAAGGGUUCCUGUCCAACGUUAAUCGGGGCAGGGUGAGUCGACCCCUAAGGCGAGGCUGAAAAGCGUAGUCGAUGGGAAACGGGUUAAUAUUCCCGUACUGGUGGUAACUGCGAUGGGGGAACGGAGAAGGCUAGGUUGUCCGGGCGACGGUCGUCCCGGUUCAAGCAGGUAGGCAGAGUGAUUAGGCAAAUCCGGUCACUUAAUGCUGAGAUGUGAUGACGAACCACUAAGGUGGUGAAGCAAUUGAUGCCCCGCUUCCAGGAAAAGCCUCUAAGCUUCAGGUUACCAACAAUCGUACCCCAAACCGACACAGGUGGUCAGGUAGAGAAUACUCAGGCGCUUGAGAGAACUCGGGUGAAGGAACUAGGCAAAAUGGUGCCGUAACUUCGGGAGAAGGCACGCUGGCGGUAGGUAAAGUCCCUCGCGGACGGCGCUGAAGCCAGUCGAAGAUACCAGCUGGCUGCAACUGUUUAUUAAAAACACAGCACUGUGCAAACACGAAAGUGGACGUAUACGGUGUGACGCCUGCCCGGUGCUGGAAGGUUAAUUGAUGGGGUUAGCCGUAAGGCGAAGCUCCUGAUCGAAGCCCCAGUAAACGGCGGCCGUAACUAUAACGGUCCUAAGGUAGCGAAAUUCCUUGUCGGGUAAGUUCCGACCUGCACGAAUGGCGUAAUGAUGGCCAGGCUGUCUCCACCCGAGACUCAGUGAAAUUGAACUCGCUGUGAAGAUGCAGUGUACCCGCGGCAAGACGGAAAGACCCCGUGAACCUUUACUAUAGCUUGACACUGAACAUUGAGCCUUGAUGUGUAGGAUAGGUGGGAGGCUUUGAAGUGUGGACGCCAGUCUGCAUGGAGCCAACCUUGAAAUACCACCCUUUAACGUUUGAUGUUCUAACCUAGGCCCAUAAACUGGGUCGGGGACCGUGUCUGGUGGGUAGUUUGACUGGGGCGGUCUCCUCCUAAAGAGUAACGGAGGAGCACGAAGGUUGGCUAAGCAUGGUCGGACAUCAUGCGGUUAGUGCAAAGGCAUAAGCCAGCUUGACUGCGAGAGUGACGGCUCGAGCAGGUACGAAAGUAGGUCUUAGUGAUCCGGUGGUUCUGAAUGGAAGGGCCAUCGCUCAACGGAUAAAAGGUACUCCGGGGAUAACAGGCUGAUACCGCCCAAGAGUUCAUAUCGACGGCGGUGUUUGGCACCUCGAUGUCGGCUCAUCACAUCCUGGGGCUGAAGUAGGUCCCAAGGGUAUGGCUGUUCGCCAUUUAAAGUGGUACGCGAGCUGGGUUUAGAACGUCGUGAGACAGUUCGGUCCCUAUCUGCCGUGGGCGUUGGAAGAUUGAGAGGGGUUGCUCCUAGUACGAGAGGACCGGAGUGAACGCACCACUGGUGUUCGGGUUGUCAUGCCAAUGGCAUUGCCCGGUAGCUAAGUGCGGAAGAGAUAACCGCUGAAAGCAUCUAAGCGGGAAACUUGCCUCGAGAUGAGUCUUCCCUGUCGCUUUAAGUGACCUAAAGGAACGUUUAAGACUAAGACGUUGAUAGGCUGGGUGUGUAAGCGUAGCGAUACGUUGAGCUAACCAGUACUAAUGAACCGUGAGGCUUAACCUGACAACACCGAAAGUGUUUUG